UGAGACAGAGCGUUUGAGGUUGUAUCCCA
rnacentral:piRNA from 1 species